GACGAACGCGGCGGCGUGCUUAACACAUGCAAGUCGAACGGAGCGAAUGAAAGCUUGCUUUUAUAAGCUUAGUGGCAAACGGGUGAGUAACACGUAGACAACCUGCCGACAGGAUGGGGACAACAUUCCGAAAGGAAUGCUAAUACCGAAUGAAGCGGAGGAGAGGCAUCUCUCUUCCGUGAAAGAUGGCCUCUAUAUAAGCUAUCACCUGUUGAUGGGUCUGCGUCUGAUUAGCUGGUAGGUGAGGUAACGGCUCACCUAGGCGACGAUCAGUAGCCGGUCUGAGAGGAUGAACGGCCACAUUGGGACUGAGACACGGCCCAGACUCCUACGGGAGGCAGCAGUGGGGAAUCUUCCGCAAUGGGCGCAAGCCUGACGGAGCAACGCCGCGUGAGUGAAGAAGGUCUUCGGAUCGUAAAGCUCUGUUGAUGGGGACGAACGUGCCUAAUGCGAAUAGUUUUAGGC
rnacentral:rRNA from 1 species